AUGCGGCCAAACUUCGAUUCCUCCUCCUCCCAACAUAACCCUACAACGCCUUAUUUUCCAACCAUGUGUCCGCCACAACAACCGCAAUAUAAUUUUGGCGAGUAUCUUAACGUCAGUGAUUAUGAUUUACUGGAAAGCAUUUGGUCUCCUCCACAAGCUACAGCUCCUAGUCAAGGAAAUCCUCCAACAUCAGAUGCAACACAACAAAAUCCUCCAACAACAGAGACCGAACAACAAUAUGGUUUUGGUCAUCAUGCUCCGCGACCGCGUUAUUGUUUUACCGGUACUCGUUUCGGACCGGGUCAUCAGCAUUAA
rnacentral:lncRNA from 1 species